UUCCAUAUGGUCAAGCAGUUAGGAUUCCUGGUUUUCACCCAGGUACCUUGGGUUUGACUCCCAGUAUGUAAA